GGAAGUUUUGUUGCAGCUUGAUUGAAGGAUGAAGGAUAACAAAGAAGUUGCUGAAAAUCCAAGGAUAAACAAAAGUGUGUACUAGAGACAAAGCAACUUUGGCAAUAAAAAGUAAUAAACUGCAACAGAAAAUCAUUCAGCAGAAGCAGAAUAACAGUCCUGUGCAAUUGAAUGGCAUAAAGAACCUUUGGUGUAGAGGAUGAUGGUGGAAAGGAUGAUGUUGUAUGCAUUAUAAAACAAUUUAUUAGACUGAAUUUUUUUUGAGUUUUUUGGAAUCUAAUUAUAU